rnacentral:rRNA from 1 species
UACGGAGGGGGCUAGCGUUGUUCGGAAUUACUGGGCGUAAAGCGCGCGUAGGCGGAUCUGCAAGUCGGGGGUGAAAUCCCGAGGCUCAACCUCGGAACUGCCUUCGAUACUGCGGGUCUCGAGUCCGGGAGAGGUGAGUGGAAUUCCUAGUGUAGAGGUGAAAUUCGUAGAUAUUAGGAAGAACACCAGUGGCGAAGGCGGCUCACUGGCUCGGUACUGACGCUGAGGCGGCGAAAGCGUGGGGAGCAAACAGG